GCUUUGCUAUUGGGCAACUAGCCUGACUACUUUGGCAAGCGGAAUCAACCGGGAAAUUUCAGUACGCUCUUUGCGUGACUGGGGAUCACUCUACACCAGUCGAAAAUGGAGACCACAGCUUUGAACCUUUUCCAUUUGCGAUAUGUUGGUUGAAGGACCCUGUCGGUGCUGUAGGUGGUGACUCGGUUCUUGCCGAAACUUCUCUUGAUCCCUUUGCCCUUCCUACCGUUAAGAAUGGAGAAGACAUGGAAGAAGAUGUGGCUAGGCAAAAAGAGGGAGGGAAAAAUCAAAUACGAGCCUUCAACGGUGACUGUCUACGAGUUCAGUGAGAUUGCGGCGGCGAGGGGAUGUAAAGGACGUUUUCCAGGAGGAGAGAUGAUGGGGAUAGUGAAGUCAUUUCUGACACUGAAUGCUGGACUUCCAUUUUCUGAUUGAGGAAUAACAUGGCCUUCUGGGCCCGCUGUACCCACUUAAGAUAUACCAACAGGCGGGGAUUCAUUUAAACAUUUGACAAAAGCCUCAUCUUCUGUUGUUUAUUGAGGAGCUUGCAAUGUGUUGAUACGGUGGUGACUUACCAUUGUCUGAACUUCUUUUCAAUAGUACCUGCUUUUGCCACAUUUCAAUUGACUUGUUCGACUUGAUUGGCAAAAUUCUUCCUUACGGCUUCUGAUAUUUUACAUCAGAAGUGUAAUUUCUGAGACCACAUUGUCAGUGUUUUUGGUAUUUGUUUCCAAAACAUUGCGCAUCUUACAUGCUGCUCGUUCUUCUUCCUUCUUUUGUAUUUUUAAUUGCUUGUACCAAAGAAAGUUCCUGUACAGAUGAACUGAUUCUCAUUUCUGGAUGUCAUCCAAUGUUCAUUCCAUGGGUUUUCUGUGGAGUGCUUCACAGUUUCAUUCAAUUUGCAGGAUCAAAUAACAGAGAAAUCAAACUCUGUACUCAGUCAAACAAACCUAAAUAUCUGCCUUCCACGCCAUAGCCAGUAGAAUUCACACAUAGGUGUGCAUGCCAAAUGCUCAAGAUUUCAUUAUUGUCACAUCACUGGAUCAAUUCAGCAAAAAGAAAAAGAAAGGUUUCACCAAUCUACCAUCCUCAAGACAGGAUUUCGCUCUUCGAAUUGAGGAACAUAGACGAUGCACUCCCUGAGCUCUGGUUCAUUCUUUGUGCUUGAUCGGCCUUUGUCAUCCAACCUUUCUCUUGCUAUUAGCUGCAGAUGGAAAAUACAGAAGGUAGUCGCGCACGUGCUCGAGGGAGCAAGAUUAUGGUUGGCGAUUGUUUUCGCAAAAGACCUAACAGAAUGAGUAGCCUAAAGCAUUUGAUCCGGAAGACACAUACCAGCAGUUCCAGUAAUUUUCCCCGACACGGCCAUGGCCUACUUCUAUGCUCAUCCCAUUGCUCACAACAGUUCUACUGAUCUAUGAGAUAAAAAAUUUACAUAUUUUCAA